CAGCAUCUCUCUCCGCAUUUCUCCUUCCUGCUGAACGGGCUUUGCCUACACAACACAAAGAUGGGCUCUCAUGGAUCUCAUCACGACCAUGGAUCCUCAUCCCAAGGAUGCCACGGACAUGAAUCGUCCUGCCAUGGUUCUAGCUCAUCCACUACCUGCGUCAUUGAGAAACCUGUGCCCGUCUGUCCCCCGCAGCCCUGCUGCCCCCCUGUGAAUGGCGGUCAGCAGAGCAAUCCGUGCUGCAAGUUUCCAACACAGUACCCCAAGUAAGAGCCACAACGACGAGGAGAAUGUCAAGAUCUGCCCACUCCAUUCAUCUCCUUGGGAUAGUGGCUUACCUGCCUGAAGCCUCUUCUAUCUGCAUUCAUCAUCAGUCAUUUGUUUUCCUUUAUCCAUUUACUUUCAUCACUAAAUGUCUGUAACAUGGUUGGAGACAUCACCCCCAGCAUGGAGAGAUGUAUUCUUACGAAACGUCAUGUGUGGAGUUACAUUUGCUCUGUGUGUGUCACAGUCCUUCUUCUACCUCAUUUCCUUUUUCAGUCUCAAAUUUGAUGCAAAUACAAUAAAGCUCGUCUUUCCUGAAA